rnacentral:lncRNA from 1 species
GAAAACAAAAACGAGGCGAGAUAGGUGAAUGAAAAACAUUAGGUUGCUGUUAUCCUUAUCCACCACCUUCAGCAUGAACAAAGCAGCAAUGCAGGCUUGCAGCAGCCCUCACUUUUGGCACGCAAUAAUGUUUACCAAUCAAAAGAUUAGCAACAGUAUCAAAAGGAUCCCCAUCCUGUUAAGUACAAUGAAUUGCUUCCUAAGAUGGCCCACGGGCAUCCAUGGUUGCAAUCUUUUGAACAAGGCACCAGCACCACAAGGAUCAGUACAAGCAUUCAUGGUUACAGUCUUCUGAACAAGGCACCAUCACCACAAGCAUCAGUACCAGAGACAUUUGGAACUUUGUCACGACGAUGAGCGCCGAUUGACAAUAAUCAAAAGCCCAAAUCA